CGGCUAAAAUAAAUAAUCGUAACGGCCAUCUUGUAAAUCGCGUCAACUCACUGACUCGAGAUAUCUCAAUCAGGACAAAGCAAUUUAUAUACGAGUCCGCCAUGCAGUACCGAUCGGAUCAAUCACAAUUCAAUAAGCCUUAAUAAUGUACUGUACAACAAAAAUCAAAUUACACUUACAUCGUGCACAAAAUUUUCCUGGCUUUGCUGGCAAUCACCUGGAGGCAGCAUAGCGGAAGCUGCCCCUGAAAGAGGCUGUCUUGUGCUUUUGUACAACAAGUUGUAUGGAACAUUGUCGCGAUUCACAAGUCCUAUGGCUUGACAUCCAAGUGAGCUUUUCAUACAAAUAUGACGGCUCCUUACGCCUUAAAA